AGUGAACGCUGGCGGCGUGCUUAACACAUGCAAGUCGAACGAGAACGGAUUAUAGCUUGCUAUAAUUGUCAGCUAAGUGGCGCACGGGUGAGUAAUGUAUAGGUAAUAUGCCUCUUACUAAGGGAUAACAAAUGGAAACGUUUGCUAAUACCUUAUACUCCUUAUUAACAUAAGUUAAUAAGGGAAAGAUUUAUUGGUAAGAGAUUAGCCUGUAUUGUAUCAGUUAGUUGGUGGGGUAAUGGCUUACCAAGACUAUGACACAUAACUGGUUUGAGAGGAUGAUCAGUCACACUGGAACUGAGACACGGUCCAGGCUCCUACGGGAGGCAGCAGUGGGGAAUAUUGCACAAUGGACGGAAGUCUGAUGCAGCAACGCCGCGUGGAGGAUGACACAUUUCGGUGCGUAACCUCCUUUUAUAUGAGAAGAUAAUGACGGUAUUAUAUGAAUAAGCACCGGCUAACUCCGUGCCAGCCGCCGCCGUAA
rnacentral:rRNA from 1 species